AUUGAACGCUGGCGGCAGGCCUAACACAUGCAAGUCGAGCGAGCGGCGGACGGGUGAGUAAUGUCUGGGAAACUUCCUUAUGGAGCGGGAUAACUACUGGGAACGGUAGCUAAUACCGCAUACCAUCAUAUGUUCCCAAAUGGGAUUAGCUAGUAGGUAGGGUAACGGCUAACCUAGGCUACGAUCCCUAGCUGGUCUGAGAGGAUGACCAGCAACACUGGAACUGAGACACGGUCCAGACUCCUACGGGAGGCAGCAGUGGGGAAUAUUGCACAAUGGGCGAAAGCCUGAUGCAGCCAUGCCGCGUGAAUGAAGAAGGCCUUCGGGUCGUAAAGUACUGUCAGCGGGGAGGCGUUACCCGCAGAAGAAGCACCGGCUAACUCCGUGCCAGCAGCCGCGGUAAUUC
rnacentral:rRNA from 1 species